CAGGUGGGGUGGGCUGGAAAGGAGUCCCCAGCCAGCGCGGCUUAACCCGUGGCCUCUGCAUGCAUCUCGAUGCUUGCAAUUGUCUUCACACUGAGUGGGCUGAGAGCUCAGUCGGUGUCUCAGCCAGAUCAGGUCACUGUUGCCGAAGGGGAUCCAGUGACUGUGAAAUGCAACUAUUCAGUUUCUGGAAGCCCGUAUCUCUUUUGGUACGUCCAACAUCGCAACCAAGGUCUCCGGUUCCUUCUGAAAUACAUCACAGGAGCCAACCUGGUCAAAGGCAACUACGGUUUUGACGCUGAAUUUAAUAAGAGCCAAACCUCUUUCCACCUGAAGAAACCAUCCGUCCUUGGGAGUGAGUCUGCUGUGUAUUUCUGUGCUGUGACAGACACAGUGGUGGGGGCUGGAGGCGGAGCUGAGCACAAACCCCCGAGUACCACAGUGAAACUGUUUUCUCCAAGCCUGUAUGGCUCUCCACAGAAGGUGGUGUGGCUCUAGGAUAUGUCACUCAUCCUAACUAAAUUACAAUUUCAAGCCACAGAA